UCUUUAAAAAAAAAAAAAACAAACACGAGGACAAUAUAUCAAAUGGAUUUUUGGAGCAGAGAGUUGGAAUAGGAGCUUGCCCCGUCCACUCCACGCAUUGACCUGGUAUUGCAGUACUUCCAGGACCAGUGC
rnacentral:snRNA from 1 species